rnacentral:rRNA from 1 species
AUUGAACGCUGGCGGCAGGCCUAACACAUGCAAGUCGAACGGUAACAGGAAGCAGCUUGCUGCUUUGCUGACGAGUGGCGGACGGGUGAGUAAUGUCUGGGAAACUGCCUGAUGGAGGGGGAUAACUACUGGAAACGGUAGCUAAUACCGCAUAACGUCGCAAGACCAAAGAGGGGGACCUUCGGGCCUCUUGCUAUCGGAUGUGCCCAGAUGGGAUUAGCUUGUUGGUGGGGUAACGGCUCACCAAGGCGACGAUCCCUAGCUGGUCUGAGAGGAUGACCAGCCACACUGGAACUGAGACACGGUCCAGACUCCUACGGGAGGCAGCAGUGGGGAAUAUUGCACAAUGGGCGCAAGCCUGAUGCAGCCAUGCCGCGUGUAUGAAGAAGGCCUUCGGGUUGUAAAGUACUUUCAGCGGGGAGGAAGGGAGUAAAGUUAAUACCUUUACUCAUUGACGUUACCCGCAGAAGAAGCACCGGCUAACUCCGUG